AGCUCUGGGUAGCUCAAAUGCUUGUCUUUCACGGACAGAAAUUGGGCCAAUAAAAGAUAUUGCCUCACUCACCUUGUCUCACCACAAAGCCACAGA